UACGAAGGGUGCAAGCGUUACUCGGAAUCACUGGGCGUAAAGCGUGCGUAGGUGGUUUUUUAAGUCUGUCGUGAAAGCCCCCGGCUCAACUGGGGAGGGUCAUUCGAAACUGGUCGACUCGAAGGCAGGAGAGGGUAGUGGAAUUCCCGGUGUAGUGGUGAAAUGCGUAGAUAUCGGGAGGAACACCAGUGGCGAAGGCGACUACCUGGCCUGUUCUUGACGCUGAGGCGCGAAAGCUAGGGGAGCAAACGGG
rnacentral:rRNA from 1 species